GUAAUGAUUGGACACAUUUGAUGAAGUGGUUUCUUGAAAAUAAGACUUUGGAUGGAUGCAGUGUGGACAAACCGGUAUAAUUUGUUUGCGGUUUAGUUUAUCUGGCAGACAAAAAACCGUUGCAGACCAAGUUUAUUUGUAUGUAAAAAUGGUCUGCAGAUGGUCCGUUGCGGUUUUCUUCUAUUUUUUUUAGAUCACUACGAACUAUAAUUAAUAAAUAAUAAAUAAAAAACGGUAUGAUCCGUUGACGGUUUUAUCCGCCCCAACCGCCAUAACCAUUCAAAUCCUAAAUAAAAACGGUUUUGAUAAUAUAAGAACCAGCCCAAAGAUGAAGUUAUAUAUGUGACUAUGUUAACACACAUUUAUAGUAUGAGUUAACCUAGACCUAUUUGCGUCUCACUUCUUAUUAAAUGCU
rnacentral:sRNA from 1 species